rnacentral:lncRNA from 1 species
UUGUACUCACAGACCUACAGUGACUGUCGAUGAAGGUGUGUGGCCACCGAGAAGACAUGCUAUUAGGUGAGAAAACUGAGGCUCACAGGACACGUGACCUUUGGAUUUCAAAUAGGCAGUGAGAGUUUUCAUGGAAAGUAGGUGAAAAGUUCUGUAGGGGCCAGCCAGGUGGCGCAGCAGUUAAGUUCGCACGUUUCCCUUUGGUGGCCCGGGUUUCGCUGGAUCGGAUCCCAUGUGCGGACAUGGCACCGCUUGGCAUUCCAUGCUGUGCCUUAAUUAAGCAGGCUGUCACACUGGAAAGGCCUAUGUGACAAGGAACUGAGGGUGGCCUCGGGACAUCUGCCAACUAGGAAAUGGAAAUGAGGCCUUUAGUCUAACAGUCCUCAAGAAAGUGAAUCCUGCCAACAACAAUAUGAAUGAGCUUAGAAGCUGCUUCUUCCCCACACGAUCCUUCAGAUGAGAUGCAGACUCUAGGCCAAUACACCUUGACUGCACUCUUGUGAGAGACUU